GACGAACGCUGGCGGCGUGCCUAAUACAUGCAAGUCGAACGCUUUUUCUUUCACCGGAGCCUGCUCCACCGAAAGAAAAAGAGUGGCGAACGGGUGAGUAACACGUGGGUAACCUGCCCAUCAGAAGGGGAUAACACUUGGAAACAGGUGCUAAUACCGUAUAACACUAUUUUCCGCAUGGAAGAAAGUUGAAAGGCGCUUUUGCGUCACUGAUGGAUGGACCCGCGGUGCAUUAGCUAGUUGGUGAGGUAACGGCUCACCAAGGCAACGAUGCAUAGCCGACCUGAGAGGGUGAUCGGCCACACUGGGACUGAGACACGGCCCAGACUCCUACGGGAGGCAGCAGUAGGGAAUCUUCGGCAAUGGACGAAAGUCUGACCGAGCAACGCCGCGUGAGUGAAGAAGGUUUUCGGAUCGUAAAACUCUGUUGUUAGAGAAGAACAAGGAUGAGAGUAAAAUGUUCAUCCCUUGACGGAUCUAACCAGAAGCC
rnacentral:rRNA from 1 species